rnacentral:lncRNA from 1 species
UUGAAUUUGGAUGAUUAUAAUAUGGAUGGGUCUUUAAUCUACAUAACUUUCACAAAAUUACUUGAAAAAAUUGUAUGUCACCAUUUUAGAUAAGUCUUUGGCGCUUUCAUUAACUUCAAAAAAAUAUUUUUCUUUUUUUUCUCCCAAGCAAUCUUCUGCAGACUUAUUUUUCAGGGGGAAAAAAAAGAAAGAAAGAGAGGUGCUCUUGGAAAAUGUAGGCAGAACAACUCGGUAAGUAAAAGGCCCAUCUUUGUGGAAGCUUUGUCACUACCCAAACUGGAAUCUCUUAAACCUAAAAUACCAUAAAAUUUUGUAACGAGUCAAAAUGAAUCAAUAAAGGUCUCUUUCAAACGUUCCACGCAGAAAUAGCUUUUGUCUUGGGUUUGGUUGGUAAAGUUCUGUUAGCUUCACAUCCGAGCAAGGAAGAAUUGCUAAGAAUCCAGAAGUCGAAAAAGUUCAGAAGAUUAAUCGUGGGAAAUGGCUAAGACCGGCAUUAGAUAAGUGCAGAGCAGUAGACCACAUGACUGCAAAUAACAACGACAGCAUCA